rnacentral:rRNA from 1 species
UACGAAGGGUGCAAACGUUGCUCGGAAUUACUGGGCGUAAAGCGUGCGUAGGUGGUUUGUUAAGUCUGAUGUGAAAGCCCUGGGCUCAACCUGGGAACGGCAUUGGAAACUGGCUUACUAGAGUGCGGUAGAGGGGUGUGGAAUUCCCGGUGUAGCAGUGAAAUGCGUAGAUAUCGGGAGGAACAUCUGUGGCGAAGGCGACACCCUGGACCAGCACUGACACUGAGGCACGAAAGCGUGGGGAGCAAACAGG